rnacentral:rRNA from 1 species
GAUGAACGCUGGCGGCGUGCCUAAUACAUGCAAGUCGAGCGAACGGAUGAGAAGCUUGCUUCUCUGAUGUUAGCGGCGGACGGGUGAGUAACACGUGGAUAACCUACCUAUAAGACUGGGAUAACUUCGGGAAACCGGAGCUAAUACCGGAUAAUAUUUUGAACCGCAUGGUUCAAAAGUGAAAGACGGUCUUGCUGUCACUUAUAGAUGGAUCCGCGCUGCAUUAGCUAGUUGGUAAGGUAACGGCUUACCAAGGCAACGAUGCAUAGCCGACCUGAGAGGGUGAUCGGCCACACUGGAACUGAGACACGGUCCAGGCUCCUACGGGAGGCAGCAGUAGGGAAUCUUCCGCAGUGGGCGAAAGCCUGACGGAGCAACGCCGCGUGAGUGAUGAAGGUCUUCGGAUCGUAAAACUCUGUUAUUAGGGAAGAACAUAUGUGUAAGUAACUGUGCACAUCUUGACGGUACCUAAUCAGAAAGCCACGGCUAACUACGUG